rnacentral:rRNA from 1 species
UACGUAGGGUGCAAGCGUUAAUCGGAAUUACUGGGCGUAAAGCGUGCGCAGGCGGCUAUGCAAGACAGAUGUGAAAUCCCCGGGCUCAACCUGGGAACUGCAUUUGUGACUGCAUGGCUAGAGUACGGUAGAGGGGGAUGGAAUUCCGCGUGUAGCAGUGAAAUGUGUAGAUAUUCGGAAGAACACCAGUGGCGAAGGCAGCGAAUUGGCGCUAUAUUGACGCUCAGGCACGAAAGCAUGGGGAUCAAACAGG